UACGUAGGGCGCAAGCGUUGUCCGGAAUUAUUGGGCGUAAAGAGCUCGUAGGCGGUUUGUCGCGUCUGCUGUGAAAAACUCGAGGCUCAACCUCGGGCUUGCAGUGGGGUACGGGCGGACUCGAGUUCGGCAGGGGGAGACUGGAAUUCCUGGUGUAGCGGUGGAAUGCGCAGAUAUCAGGAGGAACACCGAUGGCGAAGGCAGGUCUCUGGGCAGUUACUGACGUGAGGAGCGAAAAGCAUGGGGGAGCGAACAGG
rnacentral:rRNA from 1 species